rnacentral:rRNA from 1 species
UACGGGGGGGGGCUAGCGUUGUUCGGAAUUACUGGGCGUAAAGGGCGCGUAGGCGGUCUGCUAAGUUGGAUGUGAAAACUCUGGGCUUAACCCAGAGCCUGCAUUCAAUACUGACAGGCUAGAGUUCUGGAGGGGAUAGCGGAAUUCCUGGUGUAGCGGUGAAAUGCGUAGAUAUCUGGAGGAACACCGGUGGCGAAGGCGGCAUCCUGGACCAACACUGACGCUGAGGAGCGAAAGCAUGGGGAGCGAACAGG